UACGGGGGGGGCAAGCGUUGUUCGGAAUUACUGGGCGUAAAGGGCGCGUAGGCGGCUUGCCAAGUCAGGGGUGAAAUCUUUCGGCUCAACCGGAAAACGGCCCCUGAUACUGGCGGGCUUGAGGGAGGUAGGGGCGGAUGGAACUUCCGGUGGAGCGGUGAAAUGCGUAGAUAUCGGAAGGAACGCCGGUGGCGAAAGCGAUCCGCUGGACCUCCUCUGACGCUGAGGCGCGAAAGCCAGGGGAGCAAACGGG
rnacentral:rRNA from 1 species